GAUGAACGCUAGCGGCAGGCCUAACACAUGCAAGUCGAGGGGCAGCACGGUGUAGCAAUACACUGGUGGCGACCGGCGCACGGGUGCGUAACGCGUAUGCAACCUACCCAUAACAGGGGGAUAACACUGAGAAAUUGGUACUAAUACCCCAUAACAUCAGGACCGGCAUCGGUUCUGGUUGAAAACUCCGGUGGUUAUGGAUGGGCAUGCGUUGUAUUAGCUGGUUGGUGAGGUAACGGCUCACCAAGGCAACGAUACGAUAGGGGGGACUGAGAGGUUAACCCCCCACAUCGGUACUGAGACACGGACCAAACUCCUACGGGAGGCAGCAGUGAGGAAUAUUGGUCAAUGGACGCAAGUCUGAACCAGCCAUGCCGCGUGCAGGAAGACGGCUCUAUGAGUUGUAAACUGCUUUUGUACGAGAGUAAACGCUCUUAACGUGUAAGAGCCUGAAAGUAUCGUACGAAUAAGGAU
rnacentral:rRNA from 1 species